rnacentral:lncRNA from 1 species
CCAACACCUCAGGAUAUGAUAAUGAAGAUGACUGGAAUGAGGACUAUCGUUAUGAGUACUAGGUUUGGAGUCAACCAGUCAGCAGUGCCCUGUAUGGAGCUUCCGUUGAGAGCGUUGUUUACUUUAUGCUAUCAUUUUUGUAUGAGACUAUGUGAUAUAUUAUAUUCCGCUAUGUAAUGAACACUGCAAUGGUAUAUUUGAGAUUUGUCUACUUAUGUGUGCGACUAUUCCUGGGGCA